rfam:Human immunodeficiency virus type 1 complete genome, Cameroon strain 97CM-MP818
GGAACUCGGCUUGCUGAGGUGCACACAGCAAGAGGCGAAAG